rnacentral:rRNA from 1 species
CCUACGGGUGGCAGCAGUGAGGAAUAUUGGUCAAUGGACGAGAGUCUGAACCAGCCAAGUAGCGUGAAGGAUGACUGCCCUAUGGGUUGUAAACUUCUUUUAUAUGGGAAUAAAACGUUCCACGUGUGGGAUUUUGUAUGUACCAUAUGAAUAAGGAUCGGCUAACUCCGUGCCAGCAGCCGCAGUAAUACGGAGGAUCCGAGCGUUAUCCGGAUUUAUUGGGUUUAAAGGGAGCGUAGGUGGAUUGUUAAGUCAGUUGUGAAAGUUUGCGGCUCAACCGUAAAAUUGCAGUUGAAACUGGCAGUCUUGAGUACAGUAGAGGUGGGCGGAAUUCGUGGUGUAGCGGUGAAAUGCUUAGAUAUCACGAAGAACUCCGAUUGCGAAGGCAGUUCACUGGACUGCAACUGACACUGAGGCUCGAAAGUGUGGGUAUCAAACAGGAUGAGAUACCCGUGUAGUC